rnacentral:misc_RNA from 1 species
AACGCACCUUGCGCCUCUUGGUAUUCCGAGAGGCAUGCCUGUUUGAGUGUCAUUAAAUUCUCAACUUCAAAAGCUUUUGUCUUUUUGAAGCUUGGAUGUGAAGGCUUGCUGGCGUUUUAAAUGUUCAGCUCCUUUGAAAAGUAUUAGUGGACCCGUUUGUGGUUCAUCCUUAGUGUGAUAAUUAUCUACGCUAUGGCUUUGAAUGCAUGCUCAUUAGAAUCUUCGAGCUGUUUUACUACAGUCUCGGUGUGGAGAGUUGCAUGAAUUUUGCUCUUUCUGUCUCUUGAGUCAGGAUUGUCUGCUUCAAACCGUCUACAUUGUAGACAAUUUUGAACCAUUUGACCUCAAAUCAGGUAGGAUUACCCGCUGAACUUAA